GUUAUGUUCAGGUCCCUGAGUGUUAAGCGGGCUCUUCUCAAGCCAGAUGUAUGCGCUAACUGUUUUAAACAGCGCUUAAUGUAUGUUCACUGUGGGUGCGAGCGGCAUGUGGCUGCUUGUGUCUCAGUGAGGCGGUAUGCGGCAGUAUGGCAUAUGUUAUGGCCUAGGGUGUUAUUUUAAUAAGCCUCUUAUCGAAUAUCCUACGGCGGAGCAGGUGUGUGCUACUGCAGUGUUGCCUGCGCAGAGGUUCAUUGUGCUAAAAAGUAAUUAAGCAAUAAGCUGGGGCCUACGCAGAGGUCCAGUAUGAUUUUACAGGCUGUCAGUCGUCGACCCUACCUAAGCAUUUAAGUUCAGUGCUGUGUUCAUGCGCUGCUGGUCACUUUGUGAGCCAAUUU